ACUCAAAGGAAUAGACGGGGACCCGCACAAGCAGAGGAGGAUGUGGUUUAAUAUGACGCUACGCGUAGAACCUUACCGAGGCUUGACAUCCUUGGAACCCCUAAGAAAUUAGGGGGUGCCGCAAGGAGCCAAGUGACAGGUGCUGCAUGGCCGUCGUCAGCUCGUGUCGUGAGAUGUUGGGUUAAGUCCCGCAACGAGCGCAACCCUUGUCGUAUGUUGUAUUUUUCAUGCGAGACUGCCUGGGCCAACCAGGAGGAAGGUGGGGUCGAAGUCAGGUCGGCAUGGCCCUUACGCCUCGGGCCACACACGUCCUACAAUGGCCGGUACAACGCGCCGCGAAGCCGCGAGGCGGAGCUAAUCGCACCAAAACCGGUCUCAGUUCGGAUUGCAGGCUGCAACUCGCCUGCAUGAAGUCGGAUUUGCUAGUAAACGUGGGUCAGCACACCGCGUUGAAUACGUUCCCGGGUCUUGUACACACCGCCCGU
rnacentral:rRNA from 1 species